ACACAUAAAGAAACUGAGCAGGUCCUACAGCCUCUAAGCCAUGCAGCUGGACCGCUGUUGGACUUUUCUGAUUUGCCCCCAAGGAGAAGGGACUACAGGGGCCUAGGAGCCCCACCUCCCACCCCCAUGAAGGCCAGCCUCAUCUUCGUCAGGGCUGCUUUAUCCCUGGAAAUGUCCCUGGGCCAUUAUGGCCUCUUCUCCCAGCUUUGAGCAAGAGGCAGAAGGCCGACUUUGCCAUCGAGGCCUUGGCCAAGGCCACCUACGAGCGCAUGUUCCGCUGGCUGGUCCUGCGCAUCAACAAGGCUCUGGACAAGACCAAGCGGCAGGGCGCCUCGUUCAUCGGCAUCCUGGACAUCGCCGGCUUCGAGAUCUUCGAUGUGAGCGCCUCCCUCGGGCCCCUCGCGCCCCCUCGGCCCCCGGGCCGCUUCUCCUUGGGCUGGGGUCCUCUCCUGCAGCCCCACAGCCCCCCAGGCCGGCCCCUCCUUCCCGUGUGGACACAGGAGACGUUGGUUGGGCGUAUUUUCAGCUUAAACAAGAUGCCCUUUCCCAGCCAGAAGUGCUGGCGAGACUGGCACCUUCUGGACGGCGCUCCAGGAGGCCUCAGGGCAGGGGCUCUCUGUUGAUUUACUCUCUUUUUAGUCUCAAAUAUUUAUCGGGUGUUGGGACAAGACAUUGUCCUGCCCCCAAAGACUUCGAGGCGCCCCUGGCAUCCUGGCCCUGCUGGACGAGGAGUGCUGGUUCCCCAAAGCCACGGACAAGAGCUUCGUGGAGAAGGUGAUGCAGGAGCAGGGCACCCACCCCAAGUUCCAGAAGCCCAAGCAGCUGAAUCAUCCGCUAUGCAUCUUCCACUAUGCCCGCAAGGUUUUCUGGUUGCCAGCACCCUGCCUUUCCUACAAGAUUCCUCCACCUGGAGAGAAGAUCUGUUGUCAAGUGGAAACAAACCUGGUUUUCCAGGUGGUAGGAGCAGGUGUUCCUGGCAGAGAACCAGUGUGGGCAAAUGCCUAGAACUGGCAUGGGCGUGACAUUGAGCAGCCACAAUAUGAUAAGUAUGCAGUGAGCAUCUGGUAUAUUCUGGGACUGUGCCAAGUGCUUAUGGCACAAAGCUCUAUCUGGGCCCAGAGGGUGUGUCUGGGUAUUGCAGAGCCGCACAGCUGGGGACCAGAUCCUCACGGUGAGAGGAGCUGCUUUGUGCUCACCCUCAGCCCAAGGAAGACUCCUGGCAGCUGGCUAUCCCUUGUCUGAUGCGCUUCUCCUUGGGCCCCAACAGGAGAACAGGCCUCUGACUUGGCUUGGAGGGAGCUGGAGGGAGGGUGAAGCCACACCUCCGUUCCAGCCUGACCCAGAAACGGAGCGGAAGGGAGAUUCCUGAGACCCUGCAGCUGCCACCAUGAGCUCAGAUGACCCGAGGGACCACUCAGAGAGUGAAAGCUUUUUGGAGGAGGUCACUGAGUAUUUUCGGAACACAGUGAGUAGGGAAGAACUGCAGCUCCUGCUCACUGAAGGCAAAGCCUGGGAGAAAUUUGUGACUGAGGCUGAUUUGUCCAGGGAAGAGGCAGAUGCACUGCGUGAGUAUCUGAAGGAGCUGGAAACAGACUUGGCCUUGGAGGACAAAGACUCCCUCCUACAAGACCAGCUGGAGAGAACGAGGUUUUUGCAGGAGUUUCCCCGAGUGAAACUGGAGAUCGAGGCGCAAAUAGGAAAGCUGCAUGCGCUUGCGGCCAAGGUUGACAAGGUGCACAGGGACUGCACCAUCUCCAACGUGGUGGCCACCUCCACCGGUGCUGCGUCUGGCAUCCUGACCGUUCUUGGUCUGGCUCUGGCACCCGUGACAGCAGGGUUCAGUCUGGCACUCUCUGCCACUGGGUUAGGGCUGGGAGUAGCGGCUUCUGUGACUGGUGUGUCCGCCAGCAUUGUGGACAAGGUCAACAGUUCAUUAGCAGAAAGAGAAGCCAGUCGCCUCAUGUCCACCAGCUUCAACAAAGCGGAGGUGAUUUCAGAGUCUCUGGGCAAGAGCACACCCCAAAUUGUGUCCUUAACAAAGAAUUUCAUCCAAGGCUUGCCACGCAUUGGGAAGAAUAUCCGGGCCAUCAAGCUGGCCAAAGCCAACCCUCGCUUAGCAGCCAAUGCCAAGCGCUUCAUGACCGCUGGGCAAGUCUCAGUUCGAAACAGAAGGCUGGUGAAGAAAACGUUUGAAGGGACAGUUCUGGCAAUGACCAAAAAUGCCCGGAUCAUCGGUAUGGCUACUGCAGGUGUUGCCCUUCUGAUGGACGUGGGCUUCCUGGUGAAAGAGUCAAUCCACUUGCAGCAGGGGGCAAAGGCAGAGUCAGCAGAAAGGCUGAGACAGCAGGCCCAGGAGCUGGAGAAGAAGCUGGAGGAGCUUACCAGGAUCUAUGAGAAUCUGCAGUAAGGCCUGACUCCGCCACCCCCAGAGCAGUGCAGAGACACGUCCGGGGCCAACACGCAGUGGUACCUUGGAGGCAAAGAGACGUGGACAUAAAAUGAUAAAAGUGGGGAAGCUGAGCUGGUCUCUCUGACUCUUCUUUUGGUCUAUUUUCUGGACUAUGCCGUUUCCCCAGAAGAUGAGAAAUCUGAAACCCUUGAAAAUUCAAAAGAUGUCAUUUUCUUCCCUGAAAUUCUUCCUCUUGGCUUGAUGAGUCACAAAACUUCAAGCACCAUUGUUGAAAAAUUAUUUCAAAAAAGUAUAGAAUAAAUGUCAUCUUUUCCGUUUUGUCUU
rnacentral:lncRNA from 1 species